UGCACUUCAUCUCAUGGGUUCAUUGUUUCCUUGUCUGUCUUCCCCACGAGACUGCACACUUCAUUCAUUCACUUGUCCAACAGGUUCUGACUGAGCCGCGGCCACAUGCCAGGGCUGCCUUAGAUGCUGGGGACACGGGUGGACGGAGCCAGAGGUGCCCCACCCUCCCACCACGCACCCUUCGGUGCGAGAAAGAGGCAAAGGGCCAACUGCAAAGAGCGUGGCACCCAGGGCCAGGGGAGGGCACCAGCAAGGGGGAGUGACCCGGAGAGGCCGUCUGGAAUAAGAGACAUCUCAACGAGGCCCGGAGUUGAGGCAAACCCAGCUUCCUGCACUGCCCUCUCUGGAUCCUCACCCCCUGUGAGAAGGCACACAACCUCUCACCCAUCCGUGAAACACACCCGGCUGUGUCUCCAGGCCUAUGAAAAUAAAAAAAUAAAAUCAACUUGGCAGAAUGGC